GCCCGUCUGGCGAAAUGGCAGACGCGCCAGCUUGAGGGGCUGGUGUCCCGAAAGGGGCGUCCCGGUUCAAGUCCGGGGAUGGGCA
rnacentral:tRNA from 3 species